ensembl:lncRNA
AGAGAGACAGCGGGGACCCCGGGACCGCGCGCGUGUGUGCGCGGGGAGGGGGUGGGGUCCCCGGCCGCGGCCUCGACGUGUGUGUCGGCGGGCGCGGGGGGGAGGGCGGUUCUCGGCGUCACGGUGGGGGUCUCGGCGCCCUCCCCGCCGCCGGGGCCCGUCGUCGUUCCCGUCCCGCCGGCUGCCGUCGGGGCCGGCCGGGUUACCGCCCGCCUCUGCCGCGCCGCGCCGCCGGGCCCGGCCCGCUGGCUCUCCGCCGGCCUUCCCGCCAGGGCGCCUCGAGAGUCGUGGGGCCGGACGCUGGUCCCGGUCCCCCCCUCCUCGUCCGCCCCCUCGCCGUCCAGGUACCUAGCGCGUUCCGGCGCGGAGGUUUAAAGACCCCUUGGGGGGUGUCGCCCGUCCGCCCGUGGGUCGGGGGUCGGCGGGCGCGCCGGCGGGGGAGUUCCGUCGGGAGGGGCCCGGACCCCUCCCGUCGCCUCGCCCCGCACGGGCUCCGCCCCCUGGCGGGGGCCGCGCCGCGCGCGCGUCGCCGCCGACGCGCGCCGCGGCGGCCGUCGGGUGGGGGCUUUACCCGGCGGCCGUCGUCGUGCCGUCGUCCGCGUGCCGCGCGCGUGUCGUGUGCGUGCCCCGCGCCGUGUGGGGGCGGGAACCCCCGGGCGCCUGUGGGGUGUCCGCGCUCGCCCCGUCGUGGGCGGCGCGCGGGUCUCCCCGUGGAAGUGAAACCUUCCGACCCCUCUCCGGAGUCUGGUCCCGUUAUACUUGUCUCGCUGGCCGGCCUGAGGCAACCCCCGCUCGGGGCGUGCCGUGCCAGGAGGGCCUCCCGGUGUCGGGAGCGCCCUCGCCACAUCGACCUCGUACGACUCUUAGCGGUGGAUCACUCGGCUCGUGCGUCGAUGAAGAACGCAGCUAGCUGCGAGAAUUAAUGUGAAUUGCAGGACACAUUGAUCAUCGACACUUCGAACGCACUUGCGGCCCCGGGUUCCUCCCGGGGCUACGCCUGUCUGAGCGUCGCUUGCCGAUCAAUCGCCCCCGGGGGUGCCUCCGGGCUCCUCGGGGUGCGCGGCUGGGGGUUGCCUCGCAGGGCCCGCCGGGGCCCUCCGUCCCCCCAAGCGCAGACCCGGCGGCGCCGCCGCCCGCGAAGAGGGAGAGGGAAGAGAGAGCCGUCUCGGUCCGCGUUCCCGCGGCCGCGGCCGCCGCCGCCGCGGCCCGGGUUCCUCCCUCGGGGGGGCUCCCUCGCGCCGCACGCGGCUCGGGGUGCGGGGUUCGUUGGCCCGGGCCGGGUGGAAGGUCCCGUGCCGCCGUCGUCGCGCGUCGGCGGCGGCGGUGGGGGCGUGUGUCGUGGGGGUGGGGGGGAAGGAAGGGCGAGGUCGGAGGGGUUGCGCGGGGAGAGGUCCGGGGAGCGCGUCCCGGUCGCCGCGGUUCGCCGCCCGCCCCUGGUGGCGGCCCGGCGUCCGGCCGACCGCCGCUCCCGCGCCGCCUCCUCCCCGCCGCCGCCGCUCCGCACCGCCACCGUCCUCCUGUCCUCCCCGCCCGCCCGGCUCGCUCCGCGCGUCAGGGGCCGGAAGCCCGCCCCGCGGCCCGCCCGGCCGCGCUCGUGGCCGCGUUCCCGGGGUUUGCGUGCCCCCGGCGGUGACCCGCGGGACGCCGCGGCGUCGUCCGCCGUCGCGCGCCCGCCUCCGGUCCGCGGCCGCGUGGUGCCGCGCCGGGGCCCCGUCCCGAGCUUCCGCGUCGGGGCGGGUCGGGCGCCGCCGCCCGCUGGCCGCCGCCCGCCGCCUCCUCGGGCUCGUCCCCCACCUCCACGGGGGGGGGGGGACGGGUCGGGGGGUCGGUGGGCGGGGGUGUGUGGCGGUGGUGCGCGGCGCCCGUCCCGUCCCCGGUCCGUGCCCCUCCCUCCCGUCGUCCCCGGCGGGGCGGCGGGGGGCGCCGUCGGCCGCGGCUCUCUCUCUCUCGUCUUCUCCCCUCGCCGGGCCCGUCUCCCGACGGAGCGCCCGUGCGCCUCCCGCCCUCCGAGACGCGACCUCAGAUCAGACGUGGCGACCCGCUGA